CGCGGGAAUUCGAUUAGAGUUUGAUCAUGGCUCAGAUUGAACGCUAGCGGCAUGCUUAACACAUGCAAGUCGAACGGUAACAGGCCUAGCUUGCUAGGUGCUGACGAGUGGCGGACGGGUGAGUAACGCGUAGGAAUCUGCCUUCUAGUGGGGGAUAACUUGGGGAAACUCAAGCUAAUACCGCAUAAGCCCUAAGGGGGAAAGCAAGGGACAGUGAUGCCUUGUGCCAGAAGAUGAGCCUGCGUCGGAUUAGCUAGUUGGUAGGGUAAAAGCCUACCAAGGCGAUGAUCCGUAGCUGGUCUGAGAGGAUGACCAGCCACACUGGGACUGAGACACGGCCCAGACUCCUACGGGAGGCAGCAGUGGGGAAUAUUGGACAAUGGGCGAAAGCCUGAUCCAGCAAUGCCGCGUGUGUGAAGAAGGCCUGCGGGUUGUAAAGCACUUUCGGUAGGGAAGAAGGCCUUAGUGUUAAUAGCACUAAGGAUUGACAUUACCUACAGAAGAAGCACCGGCUAACUCUGUGCCAGCAGCCGCGGUAAUACGAAUCACUAGUGAAUUCGCGGCCGCCUGCAGGUCGACCAUAUGGGAGAGCUCCCAAC
rnacentral:rRNA from 1 species